UCAAGGAAAGCUUUUGGAACGUGGGGAGGAGGAUAUUUACUGACUUUUCUGGGAUUUUAACACCAGAAAGAGCUGAGUUGCAGCUUUUGAAAGCUGAGUUCGAGGGCAAUUUCAGCAGCUAAAGAGAAGUUAUUUAGCUGUGAUUGAACCAUCUUAGACCAGGGAUAAGCUGCUCCAAAGAUGGACAAAGCAGGUUUCCAAACUAAUUUGAGUCAAAUUGGUAACCUGAGAAUCUAGUUUGAAAGGUGUUUCAACCAGGGCGAGAGUGCGACCGACCUUUGGAUCACCAUCAGUUGGCAUUGGAGAGCAAUUAGAAGCUUAACUUAAGUAGAGUUGGGGCUCCGUUGAGCAGAGUUUCGGGACUUCUUUUGGCUGGGUUGAGCUUGGUGAUAGGUGGGUCGGACCUUCCCGA